rnacentral:rRNA from 1 species
ACGCUCGACACCUACGAGAGGCAGCAGUGGGGAAUAUUGCACAAUGGGGGAAACCCUGAUGCAGCGACGCCGCGUGAGCGAAGAAGUAUUUCGGUAUGUAAAGCUCUAUCAGCAGGGAAGAAAGUGACGGUACCUGACUAAGAAGCACCGGCUAAAUACGUGCCAGGAGCCGCGGUAAUCUGAGCGGGCUGGCAAGGC